CGUAGGGUGCGAGCGUUAAUCGGAAUUACUGGGCGUAAAGCGUGCGUAGGCGGUUGGCAAAGUCAGCUGUGAAAGCCCCGGGCUUAACCUGGGAAUGGCGGUUGAAACUAGUCGACUUGAAUCUGGCAGAGGGGGGUGGAAUUCCACGUGUAGCAGUGAAAUGCGUAGAGAUGUGGAGGAACACCGAUGGCGAAGGCAGCCCCCUGGGCUGAGAUUGACGCUCAGGCACGAAAGCGUGGGGAGCAAACAGGAUUAGAUACCCUGGUAGUCCACGCCCUAAACGAUGUCAACUAGGUGUUGGGAGCGCAAGUUCUUGGUACCGCAGCUAACGCGUGAAGUUGACCGCCUGGGGAGUACGGUCGCAAGAUUA
rnacentral:rRNA from 1 species